rnacentral:rRNA from 1 species
AUUGAACGCUGGCGGCAGGCCUAACACAUGCAAGUCGAACGGUAGCACAGAGAGCUUGCUCUCGGGUGACGAGUGGCGGACGGGUGAGUAACGUCUGGGAAACUGCCCGAUGGAGGGGGAUAACUACUGGAGACGGUAGCUAAUACCGCAUAACGUCGCAAGACCAAAGUGGGGGACCUUCGGGCCUCACACCAUCGGAUGUGCCCAGAUGGGAUUAGCUAGUAGGUGGGGUAAUGGCUCACCUAGGCGACGAUCCCUAGCUGGUAUGAGAGGAUGACCAGCCACACAGGAACUGAGGAACGGUCCAGACUCCGACGGGAGGCAGCAGUGGGGAAUAUUGCACAAUGGGCGAAAGCCUGAUGCAGCCAUGCCGCGUGUAUGAAGAAGGCCUGCGGGUUGUAAAGUACUUUCAGCGGGGAGGAAGGCGGUGAAGUUAACAGCUUCACCGAUUGACGUUACCCGCAGAAGAAGCACCGGCUAACUCCGUGCCAGCCGCCGCCGUAA